rnacentral:rRNA from 1 species
UACGAAAGGCGCAAGCAUUAGGCAUAUGAUUCGGCGUAAAGCGUUUUAAUGCAUUACAAGGCGGUGCAAUGUGAUGGUUUGUCAAAGUUUAGAUUUAACAUUUAAAAACACAUUCUAAAAUACCGUUGCACUAGAGUAAAACAGGGGUUAACAGAACAGUAAAACAUAGAGUGAAAUCUUAGUUUUAUUAGAAUGCCAGCGGCGAAGGCGGUUAUCUGGGUUUUGACUGACGCUGAAGAACGAAGGCAUGGGGAUCAAACCGG